ensembl:lncRNA
CUACGCAUUGUGACUUUAAUCCCUGACAAUCUUGGGUGAGAGACAUUUUAUUGAUGACCCUCCUAACACUGAUCUGUGGAAGACUAAUUCUGUCUCUUUCCAGUACUCCCGGAUGCAACUGCACCCAAUAGGUAUGUGUCACACGAGAGAUGUAGCUACAAACAUCUUUUCCUUUUGCCAAUUCACACUUUUAUUAGCCACGUUAUCAUAAGCAAGGGUGGCUUGUUCUUAGUACAUUUUAGAUGGCUCUUCUCUUGAAACAUUGUCAUUUCCUCUAAAUGUUUGGCCAUUAUCAGCUGGCUGUAGUGUUAAGUCUUGGUUUUUCCUUUCUCACUUCCAUUUUUAGCCCAUGGAACUAAAGCUAACUCAUUUCAGGUAGUGCAACGUGAGACACAUCAUUUGGUGCUCCUGACACUGAGGUCUCACAACUGUGAAGGGGUGUCAUGUUCCCUGGUCUACCCAUCACUCAGGACAUCAAAUCCUGGGGCUCUCUUCACAAACAGACCUUGUAGAUUUCCGUGAUUCUGACAACUGUGUUGCAGCAGAUAGCAGCUGGUGGCUUUUCUAAUGCAUUGCAAAGGCAGUUCGGGCUGGUUGUGGAACAGAAAGUGCUGUGUGGGCCGGAUGACUGUUCUAGCCACGCGCUGUGGAGGGUGAGGUGCCUGCUACUCCCAUACUGUCACAUGUUGGUGUCAAGCCUGCAGGGCAGAGGCUAUGGAGCACCUGCCUCUACUGAGGUGGCCUGGCGGCAUCACCUGCUGAGCUGUCUGUACCAAGGCAGCUGAAGCCUACACAGAAACCUCCUUGUGCAACUCUCCACGUGAACCAGUCACUGGAACUGCGGUGCCCUGGGCGAGAGAUUAACGAGAUUUCACCAGUUAGAAAAGGAAUCACAAACCCCCUAGGGAGCCACGGCAUCCCUGCUAUGCUGGCCUUUGUCCCGCUGCAGUGCAAGUGUCCCUGGCUCCAGGCCUUUGCAGGUUUGCAAGGUGAGUUGUUGGCUCCUUCUUGCAUUCAUGUUUCAGUCUAAAUGACAUCUCCUUAAGGGACACUUCUUUUCCCCUGAUCUAAAGGAGCCUCCAAGGAUCAUCUGAGAUGCCUGCUUUCUUCAUUCAAAUCGUAAUAAUCCUGCAGUUUCUUGUUUGUUACUUAUUCCCCUACCCCAACAAACAAACGGCCUUGUGAAGAAGCCCCUGGUCUGCUACUGUUACUGUGAAGGCCCUGUCCCAUCACCUGGCAUCUAGCAGACCCCUGAGAAAUGCUUUCCUGUCUCAGGAACUGCCCUGAGAAUAUUUUGAAGUAACUAAUGAGAUGUCUGUAUAUAUUUUAAUAUGCAAAACUAGCAUAAUUACCCUAGCAGAACUGUAGAAUGUAGCUUAUGGAGAAAACAAACGUAACACUUCCUCAUGGUAAAUUGGACUAUGCAAAGUGUGUAUGCAGUGACAAAUAUUUCCUAGGUUAUUAGUGCAGUAACAAAGAUGGAACAGGCCUAAUUUUGGCUGUGGCUUGACACUUGAGAAGACCAGCAAUUACGUAGAAUUUUUUUUCUGCCUCUUUCUCCUGACUGACAUAUUUCUUGUAAAUUAUAAGGGAAAAGUAAUUUUUAAACAUAAAAAUUAUAUUGCUUACAGAAUUUUCCUCCAAAUGAUCAUAUAAAAAUCUCUUUUGGCCAGGUGUGGUGAUUCACACCUAUAAUCCCAGCACUUUGGGAGGCUGAGGCAGGUGGAUCACCUGAGGUCAGGAGAUUGAGACCAGCCUGGCCAACAUGGGGAAACCCUGUUUCUACAAAACAUACAAUAAUUACCCGGAUAUGGUGGCAUGUGCCUGUAAUACCAGCUACUCGGGAGGCUAAGGCUGGAGAAUCUCUUGAACCCAGGAAGCAGAAGUUGCAGUGAGCAGAGAUUGUGCCAGGCACUCCAGCCUGAGUGACAGGAGUGAAACUUUGUCUCAAAAAAAAAAACAAAAAAACAAAAAAAACUCUCCUAAGCUGCAGGCCAAUAUAGAGGUGGAGGUGUUUAGGGACCAA